rnacentral:rRNA from 1 species
GACGAACGCUGGCGGCGUGCUUAACACAUGCAAGUCGAACGGUGAAGCGCCUUCCUUUUUGGUGGGUGUGGAUGAGUGGCGAACGGGUGAGUAACACGUGAGUAACCUGCCCCCUUCUUCAGGAUAACCGCAUGAAAGUGUGGCUAAUACGGGAUAUUCUGGGUCUGUCGCAUGAUGGGUCUGGGAAAGAUAUUGUUUCGGUGGGGGAUGGGCUCGCGGCCUAUCAGCUUGUUGGUGGGGUGAUGGCCUACCAAGGCGGUGACGGGUAGCCGGCCUGAGAGGGUGGACGGUCACACUGGGACUGAGACACGGCCCAGACUCCUACGGGAGGCAGCAGUGGGGAAUAUUGCACAAUGGGCGCAAGCCUGAUGCAGCGACGCCGCGUGAGGGAUGGAGGCCUUCGGGUUGUGAACCUCUUUCGCCAGUGAAGCAGGCCUGCCUCGUUUGUGGGUGGGUUGACGGUAGCUGGAUAAGAAGCGCCGGCUAACUACGUG